ensembl:snRNA U6 U6 spliceosomal RNA
GCAUUAAUCUCAAUGGAUAAAAAGCAUUUCCUUCGAUACAGAGAAGAUUAGCCUGGCCCCUGCGCAAUGAUGACAUGCAAAUUCAUGUAGCGUUCCAUUAAAAA